rnacentral:rRNA from 1 species
UCAGGACGAACGCUGGCGGCGUGCCUAAUACAUGCAAGUCGAGCGGACAGAUGGGAGCUUGCUCCCUGAUGUUAGCGGCGGACGGGUGAGUAACACGUGGGUAACCUGCCUGUAAGACUGGGAUAACUCCGGGAAACCGGGGCUAAUACCGGAUGGUUGUUUGAACCGCAUGGUUCAAACAUAAAAGGUGGCUUCGGCUACCACUUACAGAUGGACCCGCGGCGCAUUAGCUAGUUGGUGAGGUAACGGCUCACCAAGGCAACGAUGCGUAGCCGACCUGAGAGGGUGAUCGGCCACACUGGGACUGAGACACGGCCCAGACUCCUACGGGAGGCAGCAGUAGGGAAUCUUCCGCAAUGGACGAAAGUCUGACGGAGCAACGCCGCGUGAGUGAUGAAGGUUUUCGGAUCGUAAAGCUCUGUUGUUAGGGAAGAACAAGUACCGUUCGAAUAGGGCGGUACCUUGACGGUACCUAACCAGAAA